AAGAAGAAAGAAGAAAAGCACCUCACCGAUAUUAGAAUUAGUACGCUUUGUCGUCACCAAUCGUGAAUUCACAAAACGAACUGAUUCUUUAGUCGAUGGAUGCUUCUAUCCUCUGUAGAAGAA
rnacentral:precursor_RNA from 12 species